UAGGGAAUCUUCCACAAUGGACGAAAGUCUGAUGGAGCAACGCCGCGUGAGUGAUGAAGGGUUUCGGCUCGUAAAACUCUGUUGUUGGAGAAGAAACAGGUGAUAGAGUAACUGUUAUCAUCUUGACGGUAUCCAACCAGAAAGCCACGGCUAACUACGUGCCAGCAGCCGCGGUAAUACGUAGGUGGCAAGCGUUGUCCGGAUUUAUUGGGCGUAAAGCGAGC
rnacentral:rRNA from 1 species